rnacentral:lncRNA from 1 species
GGGGAGGCCCUCCCAUACACACCCUCACUCCCAUCCAUACACUCACCCUCUCUCACACCUUUAAUGUGUGUGGAUGGGACUAAGGUUUUCUCAUUUCUUUCAGAUUGUGUGCCUCCGAGGUGAACGUCUGACUGAAGUGAAGGCGUGGCUGACUGUGGACCUACAAGGUGCUUCUUGGAGGUAAUAAAGAUACAUCAGUGAUGGUGGGGCCGUCACAUUAUCAGCUGUUGUGGAUUUCUCAAACAUCUGUAUUGCAGACUCCACAUAAGGUAAAACACUUCCAUUCAGCAAUUGUUGUGCAGUGUCCAGAUUGUCAACAUUUAGUUCAGUAUGAUGUUACUUCUGGCCAGCUUAACCUGAGGAGAAAGUCAGUACAGUGCACGAUUAGAUUUUGAAAUGGAAACUGCAAAGUAUGCAAGCUAUUGAUUUUUAAUAAUUUAAACAAGUGAAAUUUUUUCUAGCUUAACUUUCUGAAUUCAUGAUCAGUUAACUAGUGGCAAAUUUUAAGUUACGUUCUUUAAUAUAUUUGUUAUCCAAUAUAUGAACCUAUAUAAUAGGUAACAAUAUUAAUUUGGGUCAGUCUAGAUUAGUUACAUUUAAUCUAAGUUAGGCUGAUUAGGUUAGUUAAGUUGUUAGUUAAAACCCACCUACAAACAACCAGCUUUACUUACUAUUAAUCACUUUACUACUACUAAUGCUCACUAAUACUGUAACUAAUUGGCAUUUAGUCCUGUACAUUUUUAUAGCACUUUAUUAAGCUUUCCCAAAUCUCUACAGCUAAUCUUAAUUUGACUCCCAGCUCAGUCUAUCUAGACAGUCCACACAGUUCUCCAGAGCCCUUUGUGAAAUUGCAGUUUCGUCCAAUAUGCCCUCGUAUUUUAGAAAUUAGUUUAUCCUGUGUAUUUUGGGUCGAUUUAAUGGAAUUUGACCUUUAUUUCCAGGGGAAAGAACCCUCUUUAGAAUUAUAUCCCCCCCCCCCCCA